AGUGAACGCUGGCGGUAGGCCUAACACAUGCGAGUCGAACGGCAGCACAGGAGAGCUUGCUCUCUGGGUGGCGAGUGGCGGACGGGUGAGGAAUACAUCGGAAUCUGCUCAGUCGCGGGGGUUAACGUAGGGAAACUUACGCUAAUACCGCAUACGACUUUCGGGGGAAAGAGGGGGAUCGCAAGACCUCUCGCGAUUGGAUGAGCCGAUGUCGGAUUAGCUAGUUGGUGGGGUAAUGGGUCACCAAGGCGACGAUCCGUAGCUGGUCUGAGAGGAUGAUCGGCCACACUGGAACUGAGACACGGUCCAGACUCCUACGGGAGGCAGCAGUAGGGAAUAUUGGGCAAUGGGCGCAAGCCUGAUCCAGCAAUACCGCGUGAGUGAAGAAGGCCUUCGGGUUGUAAAGCCCUUUUGUUAGGAAAGAAAUAAUUCAGGAUAAUACCCUGAGAGCAUGACGGUACCCAAAGAGUAAGCACCGGCUAACUUCGUG
rnacentral:rRNA from 1 species